rnacentral:rRNA from 1 species
CCUACGGGCGGCAGCAGUAGGGAAUUUUCCACAAUGGGCGAAAGCCUGAUGGAGCAACGCCGCGUGGGUGAAGAAGGUCUUCGGAUCGUAAAACCCUGUUGUUAGAGAAGAAAGUGCGUGAGAGUAACUGUUCACGUUUCGACGGUAUCUAACCAGAAAGCCACGGCUAACUACGUGCCAGCAGCCGCGGUAAUACGUAGGUGGCAAGCGUUAUCCGGAUUUAUUUGGCGUAAAGGGAACGCAGGCGGUCUUUUAAGUCUGAUGUGAAAGCCUUCGGCUUAACCGGAGUAGUGCAUUGGAAACUGGGAGACUUGAGCGCAGAAGAGGAGAGUGGAACUCCAUGUGUAGCGGUGAAAUGCGUAGAUAUAUGGAAGAACACCAGUGGCGAAAGCGGCUCUCUGGUCUGUAACUGACGCUGAGGUUCGAAAGCGUGGGUAGCAAACAGGAUUAGAUACCCUAGUAGUC